ACCAGAGGGUGGAAAACCCAAAGAGUAUCUAACCCAGUCGCUCUGUCAGCGUCUAUCGAUACGCAUAUCGUUCCACCUUAUAAUCAUGAACCUGACAUGGAAUAUCGCGGUUAUAUUUUGUGCUUUUAUUUAAAAAAUUGUUUCAAAAAUAAAUAUACCUCACUCAACUUUUGCAGUUUGAAAAUUUUUCAUUAGGAUUUACGUUUUAAGAAAAAAAAAGUGAAAAAGUGCGGCGUUUUUUCUUCGGAGAUAUUUAUGCACUGAGAAACAAACUCUUCCAAUUGAAGUAUCUGAAAAUUUUCCUACCGAACAAUUUCAACUUAAAAUUUUUUUUACAAGUUCUGACGGGCAAGAAAAGGAGGGAAAAAAGCAUCUGCUAAAAGCUUUAAAAACGCAUUAUGUUCUCGUCAAUAGCAGUUCCAUCCCUACACGUCAAGUUCAGCUGAAGUACUUACGGACUGAGAAGUUUUGUUCCAAGAACCUGGAGAG